UGGGGAAUAUUGCACAAUGGGGGAAACCCUGAUGCAGCGACGCCGCGUGAGCGAAGAAGGCUUUCGAGUCGUAAAGCUCUGUCCUAUGAGAAGAUAAUGACGGUAUCAUAGGAGGAAGCCCUGGCUAAAUACGUGCCAGCAGCCGCGGUAAUACGUAUGGGGCGAGCGUUGUCCGGAAUUAUUGGGCGUAAAGGGUACGUAGGCGGUUUUUAAGUCAGGUGUCAAAGCGUGGAGCUUAACUCCAUUAAGCACUUGAAACUGAAAGACUUGAGUGAAGGAGAGGAAAGUGGAAUUCCUAGUGUAGCGGUGAAAUGCGUAGAUAUUAGGAGGAAUACCGGUGGCGAAGGCGACUUUCUGGACUUUUACUGACGCUCAGGUACGAAAGCGUGGGGAGCAAACAGG
rnacentral:rRNA from 1 species